rnacentral:miRNA from 1 species
AGGUAUUAGGUUGGUGCAAAAGUAAUUGCUAUGUUUGCCAUUAAAAGUAAUUAUAAAAACUGCAAUAACUUUUGCAGCAACCUAAUAGUUU